GGUAGCCGAAAAUGGUGGCGGGGUUGAGGGUGGGAUUGGAAAUCACCCGCACGUUCUGGAUUGUGGUAUCAUAAAGCCCACUAAAAUACAUGGCUUUGGCCACCAACAAGGCAGCACCUAGACCCAAUAAAGUUAGGUGAAUGCCAAGGAUGGUGGUCAUUUUGUCUGCAUCUUCCCA
rnacentral:antisense_RNA from 1 species